AUGGAGAUUGCAAAUCAUAAUAUUAUUGUGUGGAACAUGCGGGGUCUCAACAAUGCAGCUAGAGGGGCUGCCAUGAGAAGUUUGGUGGAUGACGCCUUGGCGUCGGUAGUGUGCCUUCUGGAAUCCAAGCUGGAGAGGGUAGAUCGGCGCGUGAUCCACUCGCUGCUGGGGCUAAAAUUUGAUGCGUUCGUGGCCCUUCCUGCGCACGGCACGGCCGGCGGAAUCAUC
rnacentral:rRNA from 1 species